CCCAUGUUGUGUUCCCACCUUUCCAGCGGGGAUCCUGCACCAGCUUCCCACCAUGAGGCCUCAGAAACCUCCUGGAAACAGUGGUCCCCCGGGCAGCGACGGCCGGUGCAGCAUCACAUCGUAACAGUCAGACAUGACAAAGCUUUCAGGAUGCCAAAAAGUUACUCUCAAAUGAUAGCAGAGUGGCCCAUAGCUGUCCUGGUGCUGUGCUCAGUGACAGCGGUGGUUUGCACUGUAGCUGGCCUGCUUGUUGGAAAUUUGCC
rnacentral:lncRNA from 1 species